rnacentral:rRNA from 1 species
CAGUCGCCGCGGUAAUACGGAGGGGGCUAGCGUUGUUCGGAAUUACUGGGCGUAAAGCGCACGUAGGCGGCUUGGUAAGUUAGAGGUGAAAGCCCAGGGCUCAACCCUGGAAUUGCCUUUAAGACUGCCGAGCUAGUAGGUGAGAGAGGUAAGUGGAAUUCCGAGUGUAGAGGUGAAAUUCGUAGAUAUUCGGAAGAACACCAGUGGCGAAGGCGGCUUACUGGCUCAUUCUAGACGCUGAGGUGCGAAAGCGUGGGGAGCAAAUAGGAUUAGAUACCCCUGUAGUCCCUGUCUCUUAUAC